GUGCACGCUGGCGGUAGGCCUAACACAUGCAAGUCGAACGGCAGCACAGUAAGAGCUUGCUCUUACGGGUGGCGAGUGGCGGACGGGUGAGGAAUACAUCGGAAUCUACUUUUUCGUGGGGGAUAACGUAGGGAAACUUACGCUAAUACCGCAUACGACCUACGGGUGAAAGCAGGGGAUCUUCGGACCUUGCGCGAUUGAAUGAGCCGAUGUCGGAUUAGCUAGUUGGCGGGGUAAAGGCCCACCAAGGCGACGAUCCGUAGCUGGUCUGAGAGGAUGAUCAGCCACACUGGAACUGAGACACGGUCCAGACUCCUACGGGAGGCAGCAGUGGGGAAUAUUGGACAAUGGGCGCAAGCCUGAUCCAGCCAUACCGCGUGGGUGAAGAAGGCCUUCGGGUUGUAAAGCCCUUUUGUUGGGAAAGAAAAGCAGCAGGUUAAUACCCCGCUGUUCUGACGGUACCCAAAGAAUAGGCACCGGCUAACUUCGUG
rnacentral:rRNA from 1 species